rnacentral:rRNA from 1 species
ACGUAGGGGGCAAGCGUUAUCCGGAUUUACUGGGUGUAAAGGGAGCGUAGACGGCGACGCAAGUCUGAAGUGAAAUACCCGGGCUCAACCCGGGAACUGCUUUGGAAACUGUGUUGCUAGAGUGCUGGAGAGGUAAGCGGAAUUCCUAGUGUAGCGGUGAAAUGCGUAGAUAUUAGGAAGAACACCAGUGGCGAAGGCGGCUUACUGGACAGUAACUGACGUUGAGGCUCGAAAGCGUGGGGAGCAAACAG